AUUGAACGCCGGCGGCAUGCUUUACACAUGCAAGUCGAACGGUAACAGGUUAAGCUGACGAGUGGCGAACGGGUGAGUAAUGCAUCGGAACGUGCCCGGUCGUGGGGGAUAACGCAGCGAAAGCUGCGCUAAUACCGCAUACGAUCUGAGGAUGAAAGCGGGGGACCGUAAGGCCUCGCGCGAUCGGAGCGGCCGAUGUCAGAUUAGGUAGUUGGUGGGGUAAAGGCCUACCAAGCCGACGAUCUGUAGCUGGUCUGAGAGGACGACCAGCCACACGGGGACUGAGACACGGCCCAGACUCCUACGGGAGGCAGCAGUGGGGAAUUUUGGACAAUGGGCGCAAGCCUGAUCCAGCAAUGCCGCGUGCAGGAAGAAGGCCUUCGGGUUGUAAACUGCUUUUGUACGGAGCGAAAAGGCUCUCUCUAAUACAGGGGGCUCAUGACGGUACCGUAAGAAUAAGCACCGGCUAACUACGUGCCAGCCGCCGCCGUAA
rnacentral:rRNA from 1 species